UACAGAGGGGGCAAGCGUUGUUCGGAAUUACUGGGCGUAAAGAGCGCGCAGGCGGUCGGAUAAGUCGAAUGUGAAAGCCCCCGGCUCAACUGGGGAGGGUCAUUCGAUACUGUUCGACUCGAAGGCAGGAGAGGGAAGUGGAAUUCCCGGUGUAGUGGUGAAAUGGCGUAGAUAUCGGGAGGAACACCAGUGGCGAAGGCGGCCACCUGGACGAACACUGACGCUGAGACGCGAAAGCGUGGGAGCAAACA
rnacentral:rRNA from 1 species